rnacentral:rRNA from 1 species
AUUGAACGCUGGCGGCAGGCCUAACACAUGCAAGUCGAGCGAGUGGCGGACGGGUGAGUAAUGUAUGGGGAUCUGCCCGAUAGAGGGGGAUAACUACUGGAAACGGUAGCUAAUACCGCAUACUAUCGGAUGAACCCAAAUGGGAUUAGAUAGUAGGUGGGGUAAAGGCGCACCCAGGCGACGAUCUCUAGCUGGUCUGAGAGGAUGAUCAGCCACACUGUGACUGAGACACGGCCCAGCCUCCUACGGGAGGCAGCAGUGGUGAAUAUUGCACAAUGGGCGCAAGCCUGAUGCAGCCAUGCCGCGUGUAUGAAGAAGGCCUUAGGGUUGUAAAGUACUUUCAGCGGGGAGGCGUUACCCGCAGAAGAAGCACCGGCUAACUCCGUGCCAGCAGCCGCGGUAAUAC